rnacentral:rRNA from 1 species
UAAAAGCUUGCUUUUAAAAGGUUAGCGGCGGACGGGUGAGUAACACGUGGGCAACCUGCCUGUAAGACUGGGAUAACGCCGGGAAACCGGGGCUAAUACCAGAUAGUUUUUUCCUCCGCAUGGAGGAGAAAGGAAAGGCGGCUUCGGCUGCCACUUACAGAUGGGCCCGCGGCGCAUUAGCUAGUUGGCGGGGUAACAGCCCACCAAGGCAACGAUGCGUAGCCGACCUGAG